rfam:Canis lupus familiaris chromosome 1, whole genome shotgun sequence.
CGGGGGAGGCCGGAUCCUGGGCUGUGUCCCGGCGCCCUGUGCUCCGGGGCCUGCGCUGUUGGAUUCGCGCUCCCGCCCCGCAGCCCCCU